rnacentral:rRNA from 1 species
UGUUAAUAGAUAUUAUUAUUAAUAAAAUCUGCUCAAUGAAUAUUAAAUAGCCGCAAACGUGCUAAGGUAGCAAAAUCAUUUGUCUUCUAAUUAAAGACUAGUAUGAAAGAUUUAACAUUUUAAUUAAUUUAUUAAUCAAACAAUUUUUAAUUUAUUCUAAAUAUAAAAAAAUAUUUAUUUAAAAGAAAGACGAUAAGACCCUAUCGAACUUUACUUAUGUUUAACUGGGGUAGUUAAUUAUUUAAAAUUUUAAUUUAAAAUAUUAAUUACAUAUCUAUUAAAAUUAAUUAACAAGUUACCAUAGGGAUAACAGCGCAAUAAGUUUUUAAAGAUCUUAUUUAAAAAUAAUUCUUACGACCUCGAUGUUGAAUAAAUACCUACAAGAUGUAAAAAUCUUAAUAAAGGAAGUCUGUUCGACUUUUAAUUUUUUACA